AAGCCAAACUGGAAAAUAAGGAUGAUGGAAAUGCUUAACACAGAAAAAGCUGUAUACAACUGACUCAUUGGACUGAGCACAAAAACAAUAAAAUGAGUUGACUGUUUUUAUCCAUCAGCAUUCACUGAGAAAAACUCUGAGAACUGAAGGAGACUGAUGAAGGCAUUGUCUGAAGAAGCUGUAACCUGCAGGAUUAAGAAUUUAACUUUUUGUACAAUGUGCAAUGGGCUUGUAAUCAAAAUUUUCCAAAGGGGGUCAUGAUCAUCAAAUAAAUAGAAAUACAUGUGACAUUCACACUUGUAAUACUCAAUAUAAGGAUGAUAUGCAUGUGAGGUCAAAACCAUAUAUUCUGUGAUUAACAAAUAUGUACAGAAAUCAUUUUUAAGUGUUUUAAAAACACCCAGUUUUAAAUGGACUGGGCACCUGGAAAAGGUUUUUAUUGCCAUCUGACCUUAGCAAAUUAUGUUCUAAGAUGCCCAGUUUAAACAUUUCCUUGUAAAUCAUACUAUCAUCUUAAGCAACGUUCCUGUAAAUCAACAAAAGUGAGUCACCAAGAAAAACACAAUAUAUGUUUUGUAAAUGUUCUCUACCCAGUAACUUCAUCACAAGACUAUCAUAAAAAUAGUCAUAAUUUGAUAGUUUAUUACAUGUAUUCUUUUUCUUAGUAAUUUCUAUCAUUAUUAGUAUUAUGUAAUUCAUAGCAAGGUAUAUUAUACCUUGUUAGAGUAUAUAUACAACACUAUUGAAAGUAAUCCAAACAAAAAUUUUCUUUCUCUUAAAAAUCAAAUUUCUUAGCAAUGAUUAUUACAAUCAUACACACUAUAUAACUUUGAAUAAAAGUAAUCCACAUAGUUCACUCUGAAUGAAAACUUAAGCCUAAAAUCGCAAUUUCAUUAUGGUACUUUGCAAUCUGCACUGUAUUUUGGAUCCUGAGAUCCUUGCCGCCAACCAUAUAAAUUACAUAUUGAUGGUCUCCUGCAAAGUAGUGAUUUUCUUUCAUCACUUAGUUAUAUACGUCAUUUUUAUGUGCCUGAAAUUUUAUUUUAGUUCAGCACCUGCUUUUCCAGAUCACACAGGCUCAGAAUGUUAUGAAUUAAAAGAAACAUUUCAGGAGCUGCUAUCCCAUUCGACUGAACUAGUGUAAGCUACAACUUUGAAAUGAAAUGCUGCUGCUUGGAAAUUAUUUAAAGAAAUUUCAUGAAGGAAAAUGAUCUCACUCUUCAGAAAGUUUUCAUUGACCAGUACUUUUACAGUGAAGCAAGCCAUAGACAGUCAAAAGAGAAGAUCGAUUAUUCAGGAAUGUGUAUUACAAAGCAUCCAUUUCACUGCCUUGGAUAUACUUCAGUGAUAUUCAUUAAUUCCUUUCUGUUAGCAUUUUUCAGAAAGGAUACCUCAGUCCACUUGUUGAUGGCGAAAGAGAGUUGAUAAUGAAAUUAGGAACAGCAGAUGUCGCUAGAAUUCCAGGAACAGUUCAUGUUUAACCUCCACUCUGACAGCUGCCAAAACAAAGUGGUCUCUCAACUUGAAGAUCUAACAACUUUCAUCAAAGAGGUACUCAGCCUACAGACUUUUUUUCCAAGGACUAUGUAGGAAAAUGAAUAUGUAAAAUACAAUUUCUAGCCUGAAGGAAUUUAAAUGAAGCAUAUUUGUGGAAGUAUUGUAUAUAAUUCACUUAGAAAUCAAACAGUAUUACCAUCCUGCUCCACUGUGAGCUCUGCCUCAAAAUGGACUACAGGUAUUUCCCGUUCAGUGUACGUGUUUCUGUGGCCAAUCUGCAUAAAACAAAGUAUCAAAAAGCACUGCAGAAGUAAUUGAAAAAUUAUUCUCUGUUUCUUGCCGAUAUGCAACUCAGUGAGAGGGUUUAGCACAUAGAGAAGUUUUUCAUAGAAAUAUGAUCAUCUCAAAUAUUUACAUCUGAGCGCACUUAAAAAAUAUUACAAGAAAUAAUUUUGUCCUUAAUUAUGUAAGUCAUCAGCCUACAGUUAUUAGCUACUUUGAUAAAUACUAUAACUGAUAUAAUAAAGUGCUUUGAAAGGUACAAAUUUUUGUGUUUACAGCCAAUAUGCAUAUGCGUGCUGUAAGCAGGAAUAAUGCAUUUCAGUAGUGCCAUCUUCCAGUCUUUAAAUGAUCUAGGCAUCUGAAAUAGAAAGCUAAAAUGUAUGUCUGGAUUCCUUGUUACAGGUUAAUAAAUGGAAUUGCUGAGUAAUUCUACACAGGAAAAUGUACUGCAUUUGCAAUGUGUCGAUAAAACAAAGACUUCUAAUAUUUUCCCCAUACCUCUCUCAGGGAGAGCCAACCAGCACUGAAAUGGAGAGUUAUUGAAUACUCAGAGAAAAAUUAAAUAAAAAUGCAACUAUAAAUUCACAAACAAAGCUAGGCAAAAAACUGAUGGAAAUAGCUGUAAUAUCUCAUUCUUAAUUUAUCUGCUUGUAUUUCAUGUUUUUGAGUUCAUUGUGACUGGAAGGUAUUAAAGAGAUUUAAUAGAACCAGGCAAUUGUACACAGACAACUGCAAGUAAAUAUCAGUAUAGAAAAUGAACUGGUUAUUUAAAUCAGCAGUGCAUCUUAGCCAAACACAAGAAACAUUUUCUAGAAAAAUAUUUGGAUUCCUCAGAUCUGAUUAUUGUAUAAUCUUCCUCUGUGAUGAAAUCUGAACAGCAGAGUUACAAGAUGCUGUGUGCCUAAUUAUAAUUGUUCAGUCAAUAAAUUAUUCAAAGGGUGAAAUAUUUGAUAAUUUAGAAUCUCACAUCUUCACAUUUUGGCAUUGUGUCUUUCUUUUGAUUAUCAUUCAUAGAUGUGUGUGUGUGUGUGUGUGUGUGUGUGUGUGUGUGUGUGUGUGUGUGUGUGUGUGUGUGUGUGUGUGUGCUUGUGAAUCCUGUGAUAGGCUGGAAUUCUAUUCAGGCUGAGUUUCAAUGCCUUCUGCCUGACAAGUGCUUGGAUAGAAACUGUCUCCCCUAUUACCUUGCAUUGGGGUAAGUAGGUAAUCAGAGAAUUAAUUAAUUAGUUAAUUAAUUAUUUUACUGUGGUCUGUCAAAAUUCAUUUUCAAGCAUUUUGCAGUAAGAAGAAAAUAUGUUAUUGUGUCUGUUACAUUAAUCCAGUAUACCUCACUUCAGGGUAACAUGGUUCAGAAAGUUCAGUAACUCUGUGCUGCUCCAGCUGGUUACAAAUAUAAUAGGAACCACAUGCGAAAAUAGUAAAACAUGAAAAAACAUUGUGCAAUAUAGUUGCACUUAGGAGAGUAAAUAUUACUAAUACAUUUGAAUUUAGUUCAAAUAGUAACCUGCUCACUUAGCAUAAUGUAAGCUGAUAAUAUAUACAUAUCUAAACCCUGAUUCAUGAAAGGGAGACAUUUUUGUAGCAUACAAUAACAACAAUGUAUUGUACAUUUUUAAUUGUUGCAGUGAUUGCAAUAGUGUUUAUUACAGAGGCAGUGUUCUGUCCAAAUUACAUGGACCUAAAAAUCUCCUUGUCUUUGGUAACUGCUGCUUAGAAUGUACAGCUAGUUUAUUUCAGAAGUUUAUUCAGAUUUUAAAUUUCUGGAAUUAAAGUAAUGCUCUAGAAACAAAAUAGAUACUUGUCACUUAAUGUACACUAUCUCUCACUGUAAAUGUAAUUUCUGUUAUAAUGUUUAUUCAUUCUAAGUAGCUGGAAAGUAUACUGCCUGACAUGAAACAAUGAAUCUGGCUUAUAGCAAAUUUGACUUUUUCAGCAGUUCCAUAAGAGCUGUCAAGCUGAGCAUGUUUUUAAAAUUGUCACUCAAAACAUGUAAAUAUGUAAACAUUUUACAGUGUAUAUUUGUUUCUUUAAAUGUUGUCUGUGUUAUAUGCAACAAAACUACCUUGUUAAUAAAUAAAUUACAUAUUUA